UCGUGCUAGAUGGGGAGCUAGCGGUGCCCUGUAACCUGCAAUCCGCUAUAGCAGGAUUGAAUCCUUAUUAUAGGCUUUAAUCUGUUUGGUCAGUCUGAUUUGUGUAGUGUUGAUAAUUGGGUCCCAUGCAGCAGAAACUCAUGAACCCCGUCAGAUCCGGAAGGAAGCAGCGGUAAGUGAUAACUUCUGAGUGCCGUGGAUUAACCUAGUUUGAGCUUACUAAAUCAGUAGCGCAAGUAGAUUAACUGUCAACAAUGAGUGCACGA
rfam:Clostridium sp. Maddingley MBC34-26 contig_107, whole genome shotgun sequence.